rnacentral:lncRNA from 1 species
AAAUACCCAAGAGAAUGGAUUUAAAAAGAGGAAAGGUUUAUUAUUAUUGCUCACAGUUUCAGAAGUUUCAGCCUGUGGUCAUUUGCCUCUGCUGCUUUGGGGCCUGUGGAGAGGCAGUUGAUUAUGGUAGUUAUAUUUGGUAGAGAAAGCUUCUUACCUCAUGGUGGCCAGGAAGCAAACAGAAGGUAAGAAGAGGAACCAGGGUCCAAAUAUCUCCUUCAAGGACAUGCCCCCAGUGACAUAACUUCCUUCCACUACGCCUCACCUCCUAAAGUUUCUGUUAGCUCCCAAUAGCACCACAAGUUGGGGACCAAAUCUUCAACACAUGGGCCUUUGAGGGACAUUUAAGAUCCAAAUGACAUUUUUAUUCCUCUCUUUACCAUUAAAAGAUAGUUUCCAAUGUGGCACUGUUUCCAUAUGUAGGGGCAUAGCCAAUAUCACACCACACAAAUUGGAUUAAUCCACUUCAAUUCCUAGCUCUGCUGCAUUGAAACCUCAGCAAAAUAGACUCAAUUAUAAUAAAAAAAUAAUUGAUUUGAGAGCUAUAGGAGAUGACAUAAACAAAAUAAUUGUCACAGAACCUGGUGCAGAAAUAAAUGUAUCUGCUUCUCUUUAAUGGUAAUUAUUGUCAUGAUGUUGGUACUGAUGCCAGCCAAGAAUCCAGGGUGAAUUUAGCAUGCUGGGCCUAGGCAGGACUGAGAGGACUUCAAUAAAGGAGAAAACAGAGGGAGAAAUAAGUCAAAGUGUCAACUUCAACUAGUUAACAGGUGUGCUUCAGGGCAAACUGGCCCCAGUUUCUCUUCAGCAUCUCCCUUUCCCCUUUUAAGGCCCUAUUUUAGCUCCUAGCCCCAUCUCAGGUGGCAAAAGACCAACAUUGUAGCAUUCCCUGCUGACCUCCUUAAUCUCAAUUUAUCCCUCCAACUGCAACAUGCCUUAUCCAGCC